UUGCCCAUGUGUGUGUGAAGAGAGACAGUCAGUGUGGAGGCCACAGGGGACUCGCCAGGAUGAGCAGCACCUUAGCUAAGAUGGCGGAGAUAGAAGCUGAGAUGGCUCGGACUCAAAAGAACAAGGCCACAGCACAUCACUUAGGGCUGCUUAAGGCUCGUGUUGCUAAGCUUCGUCGAGAACUCAUUACUCCAAAGGGUGGUGGUGGUAGAGGUCCAGGAGAAGGUUUUGAUGUGGCCAAGACAGGUGAUGCUCGAAUUGGAUUUGUUGGUUUUCCAUCUGUGGGGAAGUCAACACUGCUCAGUAACCUGGCAGGGGUGUAUUCUGAGGUAGCAGCCUAUGAAUUCACUGCUCUGACCACCGUGCCUGGUGUCAUCAGAUACAAAGGUGCCAAGAUCCAGCUCCUGGAUCUCCCAGGUAUCAUCGAAGAUCCCGGCGGGCGCGGUGGCUCAAGCCUGUAAUCCCAGCACUUUGGGAGGCUGAGGUGGGUAGAUCACGAGAAGAUAAUUGAAAAUGAACUGGAAGGCUUUGGCAUUUGCUUGAACAGCAAACCCCCCAACAUUGGCUUUAAGAAGAAGGACAAGGGAGGCAUUAAUCUCACAGCCACUUGCCCCCAGAGUGAACUGGAUGCUGAAACUGUGAAAAGCAUUCUGGCCGAAUACAAGAUUCAUAAUGCUGAUGUGACUCUACGUAGUGAUGCUACAGCUGAUGACCUCAUUGAUGUGGUGGAAGGAAACAGAGUUUAUAUCCCCUGUAUCUCUGUGUUAAAUAAGAUUGACCAGAUUGCCAUUGAGGAAUUGGAUAUCAUCUAUAAGGUGCCUCACUGUGUACCCAUCUCUGCCCAUCACCGUUGGAAUUUUGAUGACCUAUUGGAAAAGAUCUGGGACUAUCUGAAACUAGUGAGAAUUUACACCAAACCCAAAGGCCAGUUACCAGAUUACACAUCCCCAGUGGUGCUUCCUUACUCUAGGACCACAAUGGAGGAUUUCUGCAUGAAGAUUUACAAAAAUCUUAUCAAAGAAUUUAAAUAUGCUCCGGUCUGGGAUCUCUCUAUAAAACACAAUCCUCAGAAAGUGGGUAAAGACCAUACGUGGGAGGACGAGGAUGUCAUUCAAAUUGUGAAGAAGUGAAAGCCUCCCCCUUUCCCAUCUGCCGGGCGAACCACAACAGCCUUCCCCAUGAUCAAGCACCCUACCCCAGUUCUUUCUGGCUUUGACAGUCACUGGAUCAGGAUCCAGGGGAGGGAGAUGGAGGCUCCCAAAGUGGAACUUUAUUUGUCUUACCUUGGUGUCACUGUGUAUGUUGAACUGCAUAAAAGACCUGGUAGGCUGGUCAGCUA